rnacentral:lncRNA from 1 species
AAGUCCACAUAAAGAGAAGCCUAGGAUGGAUCUAGUUCAAGAUGCAGAUGAUUAUCUGAAUUGAGUACCACUAUGUCAGUUGGAGCAAGGACAAGAUCAUUGGCCAAUAAAGUCAAGAAAGACUUUCAAGUUUAUGGUAAAGGAUGGAUCCAUAAAGAAAGAAGUCUUGGGCUAAACUUAGAAGGCCUUAAAAGUGGCGGCAU